rnacentral:rRNA from 1 species
CUCGUAGUUGAAUAUCUGGUAUAACGUACCUGGCCCGCAGCCUUUAGGCUUGUGUGUGCCGGCGCACGUUUGCCAUCUUUCUAGAAAACGGGUCUGCCAUUAACUUGGUGGGUUCGGGAUCUAGAUCAUUUACUUUGAAAAAAAUUAGAGUGUUUAAAGCAAGCAAUUGCUCUGAAUACAUUAGCAUGGAAUAAUAAUCUAGGACUUCGGUUCUAUUUUGUUGGUUUCUAAAACUGAAGUAAUGAUUGAUAGGGACAGUUGGGGUGCUAGUAUUGGCCGGCCAGAGGUGAAAAUUCUUGGAUUCGGUCAAGACUAACUUAUGCGAAAGCAUUCACCAAGGAUGUCUUCUUUAAUCAAGAACGAAAGUUGGGGGAUCGAAGACGAUCAGAUACCGUCGUAGUCUCAACCAUAAACUAUGCCAACUAGGGAUGGGUGAACGUUGCUUUUUUCGACUUCAUCCGCACCUUAUGAGAAAUCAAAGUCUUUGGGUUCCGGGGGGGAGUAUGGUCGCAAGGCUGAAACUUAAAGGAAUUGACGGAAGGGC